AUUUUCGUAGUUCGAUGUGUAUUCUUGUCCCAGACAGUCCAUAAUUUGCCUCCAUAUUUUGGCGAUCAAAUGAGCUGAAGUUCGGCUUCAUCACUAACUUGCUCCGUUAGCCUGCCUGCUAUUCUGCUUCUUGUGACAGCUUACCUUUCUCAUGCCUACCUCGUGUAGAUGAACUUGGCCUUGGCACUUGUGCACUGGUUAUAGGCUUCUGUAAUGGCUUCCAAACAGCCAUGAUCUCUGCCAAUGUUGGCCUUUUCGGAUCCGUCUGCCAGCACUUCCGAAUAAUAUCCGCAAUGACUGGAUCCAUAUCAUUUGGAAUGUCAAGACGUCGUUGUUGAAAUCCAACAGCACCAACAACUUGCAUUGGGUUCAUUCCACCCCACGGUUGCUGCAUUGUACAGAGCUCCCAUAGUAUAACCCCAAAACUAUAAACGUCACACUUUUCAUCUGAAGGUUCAUUUCUAAGCACUUCUGGGGCCAUCCACNNNNNNNNCACUCAGCCGUCCCUGCAGUUGACCUUGAAGAGAGAAACGUGCUGUGCUUUAUUCGUGAUAGCCCAAAAUCACAUACCUUCACUACCCAGUUUUUAUCAACCAGAAGAUUUGGGGACUUUAAAUCACGGUGUACUAUCAUUGGAGUGCAGUUGUGCAAAUAAUUCAUUCCUCGAGCAGCAUCAAGGGCCAUCCUCAAACGUCUCCGCUCAUCUAAUUGAUUGUUAAGCCUGUGAAUUAGUCUAUACAAACUACCCCUAGGAAGAAAUUCUGUAACAAUGGAAAGAUUUGGGGCACGAGUUACUGCUCCCAUGAAGAGAACCACAUUGGGAUGUCUGAGUCUUUUCAUGAUUCGAACCUCAGUUCUGAAUUCUUCAAGUGAUUCAACAGAAAUUCCUUGGUCUAGGAACCUCUUCACAGCCACUUCAGUUCCAUGCCAGUCUCCACGGUAUACCUCUCCAUAUGAUCCAAGUCCAAUGCGUU
rnacentral:misc_RNA from 1 species